rnacentral:rRNA from 1 species
UGCCAGCAGCCGCGGUAACACGAACCGGACAAACGUUAUUCGGAAUCACUGGGCAUAAAGGGCCUGUAGGCGGUUUGGUAAGUUGGUAGUGAAAGCCCUCGGCUUAACCGGGGAAUUGCUGCCAAAACUGCCUAACUUGAGUGCUGGAGGGGUGAGUGGAAUUUCUGGUGGAGCGGUGGAAUGCGUAGAUAUCAGAAAGAACGCCAGAGGCGAAAGCGACUCACUGGACAGCAACUGACGCUGAGGGGCGAAAGCUAGGGUAGCAAACGGGAUUAGAUA